rnacentral:rRNA from 1 species
GACGAACGCUGGCGGCGUGCUUAACACAUGCAAGUCGAACGAAGAGCGAUGGAAGCUUGCUUCUAUCAAUCUUAGUGGCGAACGGGUGAGUAACGCGUAAUCAACCUGCCCUUCAGAGGGGGACAACAGUUGGAAACGACUGCUAAUACCGCAUACGAUCUAAUCUCGGCAUCGAGGAUAGAUGAAAGGUGGCCUCUACAUGUAAGCUAUCACUGAAGGAGGGGAUUGCGUCUGAUUAGCUAGUUGGAGGGGUAACGGCCCACCAAGGCGAUGAUCAGUAGCCGGGCUGAGGGGAUGAACGGCCACAUUGGGACUGAGACACGGCCCAGACUCCUACGGGAGGCAGCAGUGGGGAAUCUUCCGCAAUGGACGAAAGGCUGACGGAGCAACGCCGCGUGAGGGAUGACGGCCUUCGGGUUGUAAAGCUCUGUUAAUCGGGACGAAAGGCCUUCUUGCGAAUAGUGAGAAGGAUUGACGGUACCGGAAGAGAAAGCCACGGCUAACUACGUG